ensembl:lncRNA
AUGGUGGGGUCAAAAUGUAAAGGAUGCUUCCCAAAUCAAAUUGCAAAUUUUCUCCAUCAACUUUUCAUUGCCAGCUCUUUCCACCCACUCCUCUGUGCAGAAGAAAAGGAUAAGAGCUCACCUACAGCUGCCUCUGAGCAGGAUGCUCAGGUGGCAGAACCUCUGGACUGUGCUGAGCAGACACUAAACCACAGGGCUGCUAACUCAAUAGAGAGAUGGGAAAACACCCACUGGGAUCAGUGUUCACUGCUGGCACUGCACCACAUCAGGGGCGUGUUCUGCUGUGGUAGGUUCCACCCCACGUCUCAGCUCCUUCUCUCUGGUUUCCCUCUCCUUGCUGGUCCUUUUGCAGGAGCUGGUCUCAGCAGAAGCAGAGCUGGAAGGCUGCAGAGGGACUGCUCAUCCCUGUCACGCAGCACCAUGGCUGGUUUAAAAACACUGCCUGGAUUCCUCUGUCUCUCUCCCAUGAACUCCAGCCAUGCUGGCCCUGCUAUAGCUCCAGGGUCUCCUGCAGGAAGCCAGGUUGCUCCUCUGCUUCAUGGCUUAGUGAACCUUUCCAUCUCAAGCGUUCCUGCUCCCACACCACACCAAUCCAAAAGUGCCAGACCUCAGGAGGCCUGAUCUCCCAAACACUCACUCUUGCUGCAUCUCUUGCAGUUACUGAGAAACCAAAGAGUAGAUGAUUAACCUGCCAAUAUUAAUGUUUGUGAGUUGUUCUAAUCCAAGGCCUUUCUCUGAUACUUCUGCAAGAGACAUCUCAAAUUACGUUGACUACUCAUCCUACGUAUCUUGCCUUCAGGAAAGAAGAAAAUUUUAACUAUUUUAUUUCUAUUGCUGUUUCGCACCUAAAGACUGGAGUGUAUCAUGUCACCAAACAAACUGGAAUUCAUGAAGUUAAACUUUGCCUUCAUUGUCAUCAUUUUGUCAUCAUAUUCCAAAUGCUGUAAAAGGAGGAGCAACAAAAUAAAAUAAAAUUUUCUUUCUCUGAUUUAUUUCCAGGGAAACCUCAUCUCUUUCUGCUUCCUUAUCUUUGCUGAGAUCCUCAUCAGCUCAACAUCUUCCUCCUUCCUCUUCCUUCCAGAGACAAAGGAAAACUUGUUAUGAAAAUAACCAAAGAAUUUGGCACAUCAGAUUUUAGGAAGAUAUCUCAUUCCUUUCCAGGAAAUACUUAUCUUGAAGAAGUACCACCUUCACCAACUGCUCAGCAGAAAGACCAUAUACUAAGGUCAUAAAAUACUGCAAAUGCUUUUUGCAGACUGCAAAACAAAGGCAAACUAUUGUUUUCUAUUAUGGGAAAAGAUACCAAUAUAUUUUCACAGACACAAGUGGAAUCUUCAUGAAUGACAGUCACUCUCAGAUCACCUUGAAAAUGUGAUAUGAGCAGUCAGCAAUCAACAAGUCAUUGUAGCAUGAAAUAUGUGCUAUAUUAAACUCUUAGAUUUCACUUAAAACAUGUUUUGUACCUAAACAUUUUCUUUAGUUCAGUCCCCAUGAUUUUUGUUAUUCAGAAUUUCAUUUUGAGUUUUGGAUUGUAACAAACCGUGUUUUGUACCUAAACAUUUUCUUUAGUUCGGUCCCCAUGAUUUUGUUAUUCAGAAUUUCAUUUUGAGUUUUGGAUUGUAACAAACCCAAAUUAAAUCUAGAAGAAACCACAGAGUUUCUCUCAUUGCAGAAUUAAGCUGCAGAUGGUUUCAGUCAUCCACAAUGAGCAGUUUAGUGUGGCUCCAUCUGGCUUAGAACCAAGCCUGAAUUUCAGCUCUUUAGAAAAAACUCCUUGACACACCUCAUGGAAGUGGGGUUCAUGUGUUUGUCCAUUUUACACCAAGCAUUUCUUACAGCUCUAUUAAAAAAAAUAAUUACAAGAUCUCUUUAACUCAGUAAUAAUUCUUUAAAUAUGAAACCAUGCACAACUUCCAGUGUAGCAGCUUUUUCAGGAAUAUAGGUGACAUUUUCAACAGAAACGGUCCAUUUCAUUGGCUUGACAAAAAUCCAGGAAGUAAGGUCCUAGAAUGAAAUUCUCCCAAAAUUGCUAAUAAAGUGAAAUAGUAUCAUGGCUCAGAAUCACCAGAAAUCCCUCAAAAUGUGAGAGAAAUUUCACUGAGAGCUGGCAGGGUUUGCUGCUAUUUGAGGUCACCAGUAAUUAUUUUCAAGGGGUGAAUCCUUGUGACAUAGCCUCCCUACACCUCACUACAGUUUGAGAAAAAAUACAUAGUGAAAAGGAAACAUAAACAUUUUGAAUCCAUAGCCAAGAGAUAUGCAAGUAGUUACCAUGUCAGUGUUCAAGAGAAAAUACAAUGGGGUUUGCUGCUAUUUGAGGCCACCAGUAAUUAUUUUCAAGGGGUGAAUCCUUCAGGGUUUGCUGCUAUUUGAGGUCACCAGUAAUUAUUUUCAAGGGGUGAAUCCUUGUGACAUAGCCUCCCUACACCUCACUACAGUUUGAGAAAAAAUACAUAGUGAAAAGGAAACAUAAACAUUUUGAAUCCAUAGCCAAGAGAUAUGCAAGUAGUUACCAUGUCAGUGUUCAAGAGAAAAUACAAAAAAUGCCAAAUCAUUCUAAGCACUAUUGGCAGCCAGGAUAAACAGCAUUUGCUGGGCAGUAACACAGACAAUAGCUGGAAUUACACAAGUAACCAAGGCUUUAAUAUUAACAUGCAUUUUCCUCUCAUUGAUUUAGACUCACUGGAGUUGCAGUGAACCCCUCUGUAAAUAAUUGCAUUCUGUGUUUUAUACGCUGAAGGUACAAGUCCUGAGGGUGAGCUUGAGCAUUUACUGAGGGCCCAUUGCCCCAUUUGCCCCCACCAGGGCAGUCCCCUGGCAUGAGGAGGAUGAGCCAAGGCAUGGAAGGCAAGAAGAGCACAGGGCAUCAGCCACAAAUGAAAACUCCAGGCAAACCAACCCCUUUUUCCAAGUGCUGGCUCCAUCUGGAAGGAUGAGCCAAGGCAUGGAAGGCAAGAAGAGCACAGGGCAUCAGCCACAAAUGAAAACUCCAGGCAAACCAACCCCUUUUUCCAAGUGCUGGCUCCACUGGAAGCAAUGCAGAGCUACAGUUUGGCUCCUCUGGGAAUCAAAGGUGAUUUAUCAAUGCCUGCAACACUGAUUUUGGAGUUAUUCUUUGUCAAAGCUGAAACCUGAGGGAGUAAGGUCAUGGUGAUCCUACCCCAAUCCAUUAGGGCAUAUUUUGCUUCUCUGACAACUUUCAUGAGCCUUAAUCUCUUCUGCUUUUUCACCACACCUGCUUGACAAACAUCCCCAUGAACACCAGAAAACAAACACCCUUCCUCAGCACAGUCUAACUGAUUCAUAAGGCCAGAACAGCAAAAUUAAGCUCUGAAAUCUGCCUAUUUUUCUUCCAAUUAUGAUAUUUGUUUUAUCAAAGAAUCUGAAACAGAACACCACAUACUUUACUUAUUAAUAAAUAACAAUAGCUAAACCUUGUACCAGCUGCUUUUUGCUUUUUGCAGAUAUACACACUGAAGAAGUGUAUUAAAAGUAAAUCACUUUACUGUUCAUGGAAAACUAUUUUGCCUGAACUUUUCUAAAAGCCCUCACUGGUCCCCAGAUGCAGAUUUUCUCUGCUUUUAAACUUUCCCCCUGAAGACUGGACUAGAUGUAAUUAUUUCCUGAAAUACUUAAUCUGGCAGUGUUAACUUUGGCCAGUCGAAGUAAAUGUGAGUGAGCGAAGACGAAACAGUAAAAAUUUAACUCUGAUCCCUGAAGCCAAAUGCCCAGUGCUGCAGCAGCAGGCAGGAGACAGAGAGACACAAGCCUGUGAUGACCAAGACACAUCACAGGCUGGA